AACAGUGUUUACACCACCUUGUCAAUGUCCGACCUUGUCUUGUCUUGGAAGUUAAGCAAGGCCAGAUUUGGUUAGUACUUGGAUGGAAGACCAUUGGGAUAUCAGGGAAUACCAGGU
rnacentral:rRNA from 1 species